CCUACGGGAGGCAGCAGUGAGGAAUAUUGGUCAAUGGACGAGAGUCUGAACCAGCCAAGUAGCGUGAAGGAUGACUGCCCUAUGGGUUGUAAACUUCUUUUAUAAAGGAAUAAAACGAGGCACGUGUGCCUUUUUGCAUGUACUUUAUGAAUAAGGAUCGGGUAACUCCGUGCCAGCAGCCGCGGUAAUACGGAGGAUCCGAGCGUUAUCCGGAUUUAUUGGGUUUAAAGGGAGCGUAGAUGGGUUGUUAAGUCAGUUGUGAAAGUUUGCGGCUCAACCGUAAAAUUGCAAUUGAUACUGGCAGUCGUGAGUACAGUUGAGGUAGGCGGAAUUCGUGGUGUAGCGGUGAAAUGCUUAGAUAUCACGAAGAACCCCGAUUGCGAAGGCAGCUUACUAAACUGUGACUGACAUUGAUGCUCGAAAGUGUGGGUAUCAAACAGGAUUAGAUACCCCUGUAGUC
rnacentral:rRNA from 1 species